rnacentral:tRNA from 2 species
UAACUUUUAGUGUAAUAGCACAAAAAAUUUUGAUUUUUUUAGUAAUAAUUAUAAAUUAUUAAAGUUAU